rnacentral:rRNA from 1 species
GACGAACGCUGGCGGCGUGCUUAACACAUGCAAGUCGAGCGGUAACGGCCCUUUGGGGUACACGAGCGGCGAACGGGUGAGUAACACGUGAGUAAUCUGCCUUUGGCUUGGGAAUAACUUCGGGAAAUCGGGGCUAAUACCUGAUGUUUACUGUCUGCUGCAUGGUGGGUGGUGGAAAGAUUUUUUGGCCAGGGAUGAGCUCGCGGUCUUAUCAGCUUGUUGGUGGGGUAAUGGCUACCUAAGGCUUUGACGGGUAGCCCGGCCUGAGAGGGUGUUCGGCCAC